GUGGGGAAUAUUCCGCAAUGGACGAAAGUCUGACGGAGCAACGCCGCGUGAGUGAUGAAGGUUUUCGGACUGUAAAGCUCUGUUGUUUGGGACGAAAGUGCCUGUUGCGAACAGUUACGGGUAUUGACGGUACUAAACGAGGAAGCCACGGCUAACUACGUGCCAGCAGCCGCGGUAAUACGUAGGUGGCAAUCGUUGUCCGGAAUUAUUGGGCGUAAAGAGCAUGUAGGCGGGAAUCUACGUCUGUUGUUAAAAUGCGGGGCUCAACCCCGUAUUGCGAUGGAAACUGGGUUUCGUGAGUGCAGGAGAGGAAAGGGGAAUUCCCAGUGUAGCGGUGAAAUGCGUAGAUAUUGGGAGGAACACCAGUGGCGAAGGCGCCUUUCUGGACUGUGUCUGACGCUGAGAUGCGAAAGCCAGGGUAGCGAACGGGAUUAGAAACCCGGGUAGUCC
rnacentral:rRNA from 1 species